GACGAACCGUGCGAACGUUGUUCGGAUUCAUUGGGCUUAAAGGGCGCGUAGGCGGCCGCUCAAGUCGGGGGUGAAAUCUUUCAGCUCAACUGGAAAAUAAGCCUCCGAUACUGGGCGGCUGGAGGGAGAUAGGGGUGCGCGGAACUUCCGGUGGAGCGGUGAAAUGCGUAGAUAUCGGAAGGAACGCCGGUGGCGAAAGCGGCGCACUGGAUCUCAUCUGACGCUGAGGCGCGAAAGCCAGGGGAGCAAAGCGGG
rnacentral:rRNA from 1 species